rnacentral:rRNA from 1 species
UACGAAGGGGGCUAGCGUUGUUCGGAAUCACUGGGCGUAAAGGGCGCGUAGGCGGCUUGAUAAGUCGGGGGUGAAAGCCUGUGGCUCAACCACAGAAUUGCCUUCGAUACUGUCGAGCUUGAGACCGGAAGAGGUAAGUGGAACUGCGAGUGUAGAGGUGAAAUUCGUAGAUAUUCGCAAGAACACCAGUGGCGAAGGCGGCUUACUGGUCCGGUUCUGACGCUGAGGCGCGAAAGCGUGGAGAGCAAACAGG